AUGAGUGAUAUUUGUACUUUCCCCGAUGCCUUCCAUCUGCUUGAAGAUCUAUGUGUGGAUCUUAAAGAUCUAUGUACGAAUUUUGACGAUCCGUGGCUAUCGUGCAUUCUUUUUCAUAUCAAGAUCAUUCGUAUGCUUUAUAUCCCCAUAGAAAUAUUUCUACAUGGUACCAUAGUUCAUUACUUUCUUAGAUCUGGAUUUGUUAUCAUAUUUCAAAAAAAAAAUCCUUAUCUGGUUUUUAUUGCCACUCUUGGUAAAAGUUCUCAAAGUUUUCAACUUGCUUUACUAUUUUUGUUAAACCAUUCUUCUUGA
rnacentral:rRNA from 1 species